CGUCCGGUCGGAGAUGGAGUACCUCCGUAUAACCGCCCCCAGGGCUGAUGACUCCUGCUCGCAU
rnacentral:ncRNA from 21 species